rnacentral:rRNA from 1 species
AGCGUAGACGGCAUGGCAAGUCUGAAGUGAAAGCCCGGGGCUCAACCCCGGGACUGCUUUGGAAACUGUCAGGCUAGAGUGCUGGAGAGGUAAGUGGAAUUCCUAGUGUAGCGGUGAAAUGCGUAGAUAUUAGGAGGAACACCAGUGGCGAAGGCGGCUUACUGGACGGUAACUGACGUUGAGGCUCGAAAGCGUGGGGAGCAAACA